CAGAAGAGUGUUGCCACUCCGCCGAAUCGCCAGUUAGUGGUACCUGCAAAGUACCGGCAGGAGAUUCUGCGGAUAGGGCAUGAUGUUCCUUUAGCUGGACAUCUAGGGUCCCGCCGCACAGCCUAUAGGAUUUCACAGAACUUCUUUUGGCCAAACUUUAACCAGGCUGUGCGGAUGUACUGCAGCACGUGUGACACCUGUCAACG